ensembl:ncRNA lncRNA:CR44413 long non-coding RNA:CR44413
AAAAUAGCCCUUUAAGCCCAAAUCUAAAGUAAAAUUAAAGUUAAUGUAAAAGACAAAAGACCACCGAAAGGUCAGGCUUCAUUAUCCCGCUCAUUUUUUGGUUAAUCUGCAAAAUCUGCAGCCAAGUGAAUUUCGUUUCUAGGCAGGCACCAAAGAUAACAAUAAACCCCGAAACUAAUGAAAAGACAAACUCUGCGCCGGAGGAAAAUCCACUUGGCGGAACUAAAGUGUGAUGUGUAACUGCGUACAGGCGGCAGUUAUGGCAGCGCCAGAAGAUGCAAAUGAAAAUUGCAGGAGGCACCGAAGGACCUUCGAACCCCACCCCCCACCCCCUUUGCACAUUUCCUGCUCAUUUUCGCCGGGGGAGUUGCCAGUUAAGAUUUUCGCCUCGUUGCAGGGAUCUUUGAAGGAGCGACAGGAGCUCAAGUUGAGUGCUGCAUUUCGGCUUCAUUGCAUCUCGGUGAGCACACAGUGGGCGAUAGAGGUCUGCUGUGAACGGAUGGCAAGGGGAAAGGACAUUAAAAGGUAGCAGGGGCGGUGCAUUUCAAGGGAAAAAAGCACAAUAAAUCCCUACCCUUGUAGUAGUUGUAUAA